rnacentral:misc_RNA from 1 species
ACGAGAUCAUGCCCUCGGGGGUUCUCUCCCGGGUGGUAGGGGCUGACACCCUUCACGCGUUGCCGCAUUCCUGAAUCCUUUUUUUACGAGCACCUUUCGUUCUCCUUCGGUGGGGCAACCUGCCGCUGGAACUUAACAAAACCUUUUUUGCAUCUAGCAUUACCUGUUCUGAUACAAACAAUCGUUA